rnacentral:rRNA from 1 species
GAUGAACGCUGGCGGCGUGCCUAAUACAUGCAAGUCGAACGAAACUUCUUUAUCACCGAGUGCUUGCACUCACCGAUAAAGAGUUGAGUGGCGAACGGGUGAGUAACACGUGGGCAACCUGCCCAAAAGAGGGGGAUAACACUUGGAAACAGGUGCUAAUACCGCAUAACCAUAGUUACCGCAUGGUAACUAUGUAAAAGGUGGCUAUACUACCGCUUUUGGAUGGGCCCGCGGCGCAUUAGCUAGUUGGUAGGGUAAAGGCUUACCAAGGCAAUGAUGCGUAGCCGACAUGAGAGGGUGAGAGGACACACUGGAAAUGAGACACGGCCCAGACGCAGACGGGAGGCAGCAGUAGGGAAUCGGGCGCAAGGGGCGAAAGCCUGACGGAGCAACGCCGCGUGGGAGAAGAAGGUUUUCGGAUCGGAAAACUAUGUUAUGAGGGAAGAACAAAGGUGUAAGUAACAAGGCAAGGCGGGACGGUACCGUAGGAGAAAGCCAGGGCUAACUAAGGG